rnacentral:rRNA from 1 species
GGGAAUUUGCCUCGGGGUAUGGAAUAACUCAGGGAAACUUNAGCUAAUACCAUAUAAUGUCUUCGGACCAAAGAUUUAUCGCCCUGAGAUAAGCCCGCGUAGGAUUAGCUAGUUGGUGNGGUAAAAGGGCUCACCAAGGCGACGAUCCUUAGCUGGUCUGAGAGGAUGAUCAGCCACACUGGGACUGAGACACGGCCCAGACUCCUACGGGAGGCAGCAGUGGGGAAUAUUGGACAAUGGGCGAAAGCCUGAUCCAGCAAUGCCGCGUGAGUGAUGAAGGCCUUCGGGUUGUAAAGCUCUUUUACUCGGGACGAUAAUGACGGUACCGAGAGAAUAAGCCCCGGCUAACUCCGUG